AUUGAACGCUGGCGGCAGGCUUAACACAUGCAAGUCGAGCGGGGGAAGGUAGCUUGCUACUGGACCUAGCGGCGGACGGGUGAGUAAUGCUUAGGAAUCUGCCUAUUAGUGGGGGACAACAUCUCGAAAGGUAUGCUAAUACCGCAUACGUCCUACGGGAGAAAGCAGGGGAUCUUCGGACCUUGCGCUAAUAGAUGAGCCUAAGUCGGAUUAGCUAGUUGGUGGGGUAAAGGCCUACCAAGGCGACGAUCUGUAGCGGGUCUGAGAGGAUGAUCCGCCACACUGGGACUGAGAAACGGCCCAGACUCCUACGGGAGGCAGCAGUGGGGAAUAUUGGACAAUGGGGGGAACCCUGAUCCAGCCAUGCCGCGUGUGUGAAGAAGGCCUUAUGGUUGUAAAGCACUUUAAGCGAGGAGGAGGCUACUUUAGUUAAUACCUAGAGAUAGUGGACGUUACUCGCAGAAUAAGCACCGGCUAACUCUGUGCCAGCCGCCGCCGUAA
rnacentral:rRNA from 1 species